AUAGACAGGAUUUAGUUUUUCUUUCUUUUACUUUUAUUUUUAUUUUAUUUCUUUUUAAAUUCUUAGAAUAGGUUGAAUUUUAAUUUUAGUUUGUACUCUUGGCUUGAAUACUUUUUCUAAAAAUGUUUGAAUGACUGAUGUGCAUGAUGGAGCUAUUUGAUGAUUAUUUGAUGUGAAUGAGAAUUGAGUUACAAUGCAUGUUGAUAUUCUGU
rnacentral:lncRNA from 1 species